AAAUCCAUCUCAAUUGAGCACUUUUUCAUUAAUAAUAAUGAUGAUGGCAUCUGUUAGGUGCCUACUGCGUGCCAGGCACUGUACUGCUCUCCCAAGCACUCGAUACGGAGCUUUGCACACAGUGAGUGCUCAGUAAAUGCCAUCCAACGAAUGAGCGUGCGGAGCGCUCUCCGGAGGGCUUGGGAGAACGCGACCCGACGGAAUUAGUGGACGGCAGCGGGUUAUAAGCACGUAGUGAGCGGUGCACCCGUCCGCCAGCUGUUGUACUCUCCCGAGCGCUCGGUACGGCCCUCCGCAAACGGUAGGCGCUCGGUAAAUGCCAUUGAUCUAUCUGCUGACAGCGACGGAAUCAGCAGGCGAGAAUCGGGACACUGGAACCCAAAGGUUUCCCGAAAUAAGCCGGGUCCAGAACGACGGCGGUCGUGAAGCCGACUUAACGGAUGAAGGAGGAGAUGAGCGCAGAGCCAGGAAAAAUACAAACCGAUUCCAACCCAACAGGAAAUUGUAAGCAGUUUGCAGGAAGGCCAGGAGGGGUUCGAAGGACCGCGGAGGAAUCAGCCCCGGUCACGCCGCCGACUUCCGCCUCUGGGACGCUCGGAGGGCAACGGGAGACCUCCCGGAACCCCGCGCCCGCUUGCCCGUCCACCUCCCUGCCCGACACCCAUUUUCAGCGUCUCCGCCCGAGAUCCCACCUGGGCCUUUUAGAAUUUGAGCGCCUUGGUCUGUCCUUCUCCGUCUCCUCUAGACUGUGAGCUCACUGUGGGCAGGGAACAUGUCUAACUGGUGUAUCGACUCUCCCAAGCGCUCGGUCCCUAACCUUCCAGCCGCACCUCCCUCUCGUCUAUCUCGCCAUCGGCCUCUCGCCCGCAUCCCCCCUCUGGCCUGGAACGCCGUCCGUCCUCAUAUCUGACAGAAGAUUCCUCUCCCCACCUUCCAAAGCCUUAUUUGAAAGCCCAUCUCCUCCAAGAGGCCUUCCCUGACUAAGCCCUCCUUUCCUUCUCCCACUCCCUUCUGUAUCGCCCUGACCUGCUCCCCUUAUUCAUCCCCCUCCCAGCCCCACGGCAAUUACAUUCAUUCGUUCAUUCAACAGCAUUUAUUGAGCGCUUACUAUGUGCAGAGCACUGUACUAAGCGCUUGGAAUGUACAACUGGGCAACAGACAGAGACGAUCCCCGCCCGAUGACGGGCUCACGGUCUAAUCUAUAUCUGUCAUUUAUUUUUUAUAUUUAGGUCCGUCUCUCUAACUGAAAGCUCGCUUUGGGCAGGGAACGUAUCUGUCAUAUUGUUAGGCUCUACUCUCCCAAGUGCUUAGUACAGUGUUCUGUACAUAGUAAGCGGUCAAUAAAUAGAACUGACCGACUCAAUAUAGCGCUCUGCGCUUAGUACGUGCUCAUGGAUUGAUUGACCGAUCGAACGAUUCCGAUGGCACGGGUUGCUUACUGUGUACUAAGCAAUUCGGCGGGUACGAGCCGUACUCUACCCAAGUGUCCAGCGCAGUGCUCUGCACACCGUAGAUUGUACAUUUCUGGAGAGCAGGGAUCAUGUUUACGAGCUCUACUGAUCCCUGCCCUCGUGGAGUUUUACCAUCUGGUGGGGGAGACAAGCGCUGAAAUCAUUUUCAGGCAGAAGGAAGAAGGAAAAGAGGUAAUAUGAACACGAGUCAGUGUGUUUCUUCUUCUCAUAACAGUGAUGAUGGUAUUUGUUAAGCGCUUACUAUGUGCCAAGCACUGUUCUAAGCGCUGGGGUAGAUACAAGGUAAUCAGGUUGUCCCCCGUGGGGCUCACAAUCUUAAUCCCCAUUUUACAGAUGAGGGAACUGAGGCACAGAGAAGUGAAGCGACUUGCCCAGAGUCACAGAGCUGACAAGUGGCAGAGCCAGGAUUAGAACCCACGACCUCUGACUCCCAAGCCCGAGCUUCUUCUGUAGCAGCUCGUGAGUCUGCCUUCCCUCUAAGAGACCUCCAGCUUCUCGAAGUCAUUUUUCACCAGUCUCUUCCUUGUCUCAGCUUGGCUUUCUGCUCUCCCUCCCCGUUUCUGUUCUUGCUCUGGUCAUAAAUAACCCAUUUGGGUUUCUGAGAAAUAUUAUUCCUCAGGAGAAGAAAUGGAAGCCCCGAGGGAAGAACUUGAGUUGUUCAAGGAAUUCUGUAUUUACUCAUAUAAUUUUCUUUCCCUAAUUUUGAGGUGGAAAUAAAAGAUUAUUUUUCUAAGGAGGCAUAACCACGAGCCUGGGUAGGAAGAGGAGAAGGAAGCGAGGAAUAACAGUAAUUCACUGACAAGAUGAUAAAAGUCAGAAAUUCAGUUCCAAACUCCUUCUUACCUCCCUCUUCUUUUAAUAAUAAUAAUACUGUUGAUAUUUGUUAAGCGCUUACUACGUGCAGAGCACUGUUCUAAGUGCUGGGGUAGAUACAGAGUAAUCAGGUUGUCUCAUAUGAGGCUCACAGUCAAUCCCCAUUUUACAGAUGAGGUAACUGAGGCCCAGAGAAGUGAAGUGACUUGCCCACAGUCACACAGCUGACAGGUGGCAGAGCCGGGGUUCGAACCCACGACCUCUGACUCCGGAGCCCAGGCUCUUUCCACUGAGCCACGCUGCUUCUCAACACUUUCACCCUCCUUUAUUCCUCCUUAUUUUUUCUCCGUUUCCCUUAUCGCUAAACUUCAUUCCCGGCGUAAUAGCCCCACCCCAGUCUUUGGAGUGGCAAAGAUAAUGGGAAAAAGUGGGGCUAUUUGAAUGUCAAUAUGGGAUGGAUAUAAUCAAUCCAUCAAUCGAUUCUAUUGAGCGUUUACUCUGUCCAGAGCACUGAACUAAGUAUUUGGGAGAGUCCAGCAUAACAGAGUCGGUAGACGCUUUGCCUACUCAACGACGAGCUUACAGUCCAGCGGGAGACUAGAUAUGUUCUAGAGACACAGAGAAGUGACUGGACUCAACCACACGCCUAAGAAAGGUCAGACAGCUGGCUUGUGGAUUGCCCUUUCUGAUAACCCUCCCCUCCCCCAAAUAUCCACUGAGGCGGGGGGGCAAGCACCUUCAAUUUGGGGGGGGAGGAUGUGUGUGUGUACGUGUGUGCCAAUUGUAUUUAUGGAGUGCUUACUGUGUGCAGAGCACUGUAUUAAGCGCUUGGGAGAAUAUAAUAUAACCAUAAAUAGACACAUUCCCUGCCCAGACGAACUUACCGUCUAGAGGAUGAGUUUACAGGCGUGUGUGUGUGUGGUGUCUGUCUCUCUCCAUGCCCCCCUUUGUGAAGAUGGCUGGUUACCAUGGAAACAGGGCCUCAGCUACGGCCCGGCUUGCCAGAGUAGGGGCUGAGUGCGAAAAGUGUUUGCUAAGGUGGGUUCGAUCAGUCGGUGGUGUUCGCCGAGCGGUUCCUGAGUGCGGGGCACUUUCCUAAGCGCUCCGAAGAGUCCGGCGCGGCAGAAUUGAUAGUCACGUUCCCCGCCCACGGCGAGCUUCCGGUCUAGAGGGGUCAGAGGGCAGAGGGUCGGAGGGAAUGGGGGGCCGAGCCCAGGGGGAGGAGAGGAGACGGCCUCGGGAACUGAGGGAUUCGGG
rnacentral:lncRNA from 1 species